GACGAACGCUGGCGGCGUGCUUAACACAUGCAAGUCGAACGAAGAGCGAUGGAAGCUUGCUUCUAUCAAUCUUAGUGGCGAACGGGUGAGUAACGCGUAAUCAACCUGCCCUUCAGAGGGGGACAACAGUUGGAAACGACUGCUAAUACCGCAUACGAUCUAAACUCGGCAUCGAGGAUAGAUGAAAGGUGGCCUCUACAUGUAAGCUAUCACUGAAGGAGGGGAUUGCGUCUGAUUAGCUAGUUGGAGGGGUAACGGCCCACCAAGGCGAUGAUCAGUAGCCGGUCUGAGAGGAUGAACGGCCACAUUGGGACUGAGAUACGGCCCAGACUCCUACGGGAGGCAGCAGUGGGGAAUCUUCCGCAAUGGACGAAAGUCUGACGGAGCAACGCCGCGUGAGUGAUGACGGCCUUCGGGUUGUAAAGCUCUGUUAAUCGGGACGAAAGGCCUUCUUGCGAAUAGUGAGAAGGAUUGACGGUACCGGAAUAGAAAGCCACGGCUAACUACGUG
rnacentral:rRNA from 1 species